UUUGUAUAUUGUCAUUUUAUCAAACAAUUGCAAAAUUGCAACACAAACAUACAUAUACAUAUACAUACACAUUUAAACACACAUGCAUACGUGCACAGUUACACAUACAUAUACAGAGAGAAAAGAAAUUGUAAGAUACAGAUAUAAAUUGUAAAAAGAAUUUAAAAAAUAUAAUUGGAAACAUUAUACAAUCCCUGUUUAAAAGGGAAAAAAAUGAUACAGAAAAAAAAUCAACCAUACAAUUCUUCUUUUGCAUGAAACUCUAUGAAAAGACAUUUUUUUUUUUUGAAACCAUCUCCAGAUGACGUAAUAUGUUCACACUCCCUUUCUUUCAAUAUUUCAAAACUUUGUGUCUAUUUUUUCCCCCACUUUCCCCUCAGUUUUUCAGUGUGUGCUUUAUUGAAUAUACAUUUUUUUUAAAUAUAUAUAUAUAAAAAUGAAAUAAAUUAUACCACAUUUAAAAAAAAAGAAAAAGAAAAAACCCAGCCAAAAAAUAUUUAAAAACACCAUUAAAAAAAAAAUCGAAAGACUGGUCUCCAAGAAAAAAAAAAGAUAAAAGGACAAAACCCAAAACGAAGCUAUACAACUUCCAUUUCUUGAUCCUUGGACACAAUGUUGCAUAUAUAUAUGUGUGUGUGUAUAUAUAUAUAUAUAUAUAUAUUAUAUAUAUAUAUAUAUAUGUGUAUAUAUAUAUAUGGCUUUAAUUUUUAUUGAUGGUACUUACAGUAAAUUCAUUAUAGAUUGUCACUCUCUUCUCUCUCCAUAUACACACAUACACACUUUUGUUCUUGGCUCUUUGACCACUUUACUAUUCUAGAAAGAUCUAUGAAAAUAUUUUUAAUCAUUGGAAAAACAAUAUAUCCUCCUCUUCCUUAGGCUUAUCUUGUUUACUUUUGAUUAAAGAUGAUUUGUUUUAUUUAUUUAUAUAUAUAUUUUUUUCAUAUUCUCCAAUUGAAAUUGGAAUCUUCUUUCCUUCUUCCCACAAGUACCCAUAAUUAUUUCCUAACACCCACACCUUCCCUUUGCUCUGCUAUCUCCAUAAAUUGUUAGAUCUUCCUCUUUCCUCUCCACCUUCCACCUUUACCCCCUCCUUCUCAGUUAGAUCCUUGGGGCAUGGUGUCUAGGUGGAGAGUUUGCCCUUAAUUUCAGAUCUUCAACAAGUUUUAACAUCAGUGUUUGCAGCACUUUUUACUUAAUGCUCAUAUUUUCAUGAAAUAUAAAUAAAUAAUACAUUUUUUUUUACUAAAAAAACUGGAAAAAAAACAACUUAAUAAAAAUAUCAAAACGUCUUUUUUUUGUUUUAAACAUUUUUUUAUUUAACUUUUUAAAAUUAUUUUUUUGUUAUGUACAUGAAAGUCAAUAAAGAUGUUUUAACUCUG